CCGGAGGAAGGUGGGGACGACGUCAAGUCAUCAUGGCCCUUACGUGUAGGGCUACACACGUGCUACAAUGGCGCAUACAGAGUGCUGCGAACUCGCGAGAGUAAGCGAAUCACUUAAAGUGCGUCGUAGUCCGGAUUGGAGUCUGCAACUCGACUCCAUGAAGUCGGAAUCGCUAGUAAUCGCGUAUCAGAAUGACGCGGUGAAUACGUUCCCGGGCCUUGUACACACCGCCCGUCACACCAUGGGAGUGGGUUGCUCCAGAAGUAGAUAGUCUAACCCUCGGGAGGACCUUACCUUGUUUCCCUCC
rnacentral:rRNA from 1 species